CUAUCCGUGCUUCGUAGCAGACUGAUUAGAAGAUAGACUGUGGGAACUCCUUUUAUAGCCAAAUUCUGCAGCCAAACCCCGCAGCCAAAAAAAAUCAGAAUCCGAACGUGCAUCUUGAAAGCCAGGAUCCAUUCAGGGUAUUCCAAGAAUAGCUCUCAAGUUGCUGGAAAGUAGCACUCCCUACGCUGGCCUCCAAGUGGAUUUUAAAGCCGAGAGGAAGGGUUGAGUCAGCCUUGCCCGACCCGAUCAAGGUCUGCCGCAUGCAGGCGCCGCUCUAGGUACCGGGAACCUGGCAGUAAACGAAACGGAUGAAAGAUACAGGAACACCCAGGCACCGGUGGUACUCACACUAUGGCUCUCAGCUGGACCUCUGAGCCUCCAUUACAGCGCUCCCCUGCAUUGGCUCAGGCAUUGACUAGUGCCUGGCCUGCUGGAAGCUUUGUGUGCGGAAGUGCCUCCCUGCUGAUGGGCUCCUCAAGGUCCCUGGCACCUGUUUAGAUGCACACCGCCAACACCCCUGGAACUUAUUGUUCUGUACACGGGUUCUCAGAGGCUCACACAGGGUGGGGGUCAGAAGAUGUGUCCAGGAAAACGUGGGUCACACAAGAUUAACCAUAUGUAGUGGCUAUUCCUGGUUGUCAACUUGACUAUAUUUGGAAUGAACUACAAUCCAGAAUUGGAAGGCUCACCAGUGACCCUUAUCUGGAGGCUUGGAGAUAGAAGUUUCUGAUCUGGAUCUUGGUAUGGAGAUCUUGAGCCAUAGUGGCUAUGGAUUCCAGAAGAUUAAAUCUCCGAGUUCAAGGUCAUCUGGGAUUAAAGGUGUGGUGGAACGCACCUUUAAUCUGGGCUACACCUUCUGCUGGAGACAAUAUAAAGACAUUAGAAGAAGGGAGUCUUGCUCUUGCUCCUUCGCCUGCUUGCUGUGUGAGACUGAGUAACUGCUAGAUCCUUGGACUUCCAUUCAUAGCUACGACUGAACCAUUGUUGGGAAUUGGGCUGCGGACUAUGCUCAUCACCCGUUUGCUGGAGGAAACAUGGUGCCUCGGUCUCCACAUACCUACUGACAUGCCGUCCUGCCAUCUAUCAGGGAGGCUUGAAGACCCCGUACAAAAGGGAGCAUCUACCUAGUUUGUGUAGCUCCCACAGUACCUCCUGAGACUAAGGGCAAGUGUUUGAUAAGUGUCUACUGACCAUGGGGGAAAAUGGUGUAGUUCUGUAAUUCGUGAGGGCACAGAUGAAACCCUAUGGCAUAAUGUGGAGAGACAUAGGGCAUCAUAGAAAAACAAGCCCUUUCAUUCACACGUGCAAUAAAGCAAAACUGAUCUCAUAGAAGUUGGUGUCAGAGCAAUAGAUACAGCAAAAUUUAAAAAGCUACAAGAGGGGCUGGAGAGAUGGCUCCGUGGCUAAGAGCACUGGCUGCUCU